AGAUGAUGUUCUAUCCAGCCAGCCAACAAUUCUCAAGCGGAGUGGCUCUAGAAACUCAGCUCUUGAAAACAUCACGGAGCUUUAUCAGUGAUAAGGCCAAGAGGUUGCAACUACUGUUAUCUUUGGACACACAAAAGAAUCACCUGGUCCAGUUUAUCCUCCAGAAAUGAUCACUGUGAUAUACCUGUGACUGCUGAAUGGCUAUCGUACAUCUGUAAAUGGGCAUACCAUUCCUGGUACCUUCUAACUUUGUGAACACUGUCCCCAUGCAUAAAAUAUGGAGUCCUGCAGAGCAGCUAGAGAAAGGGAGCACUCACCCUGCAGAAGUCAUUGAGAGCCCAUGUGGCAGAAAGAUGAAACCCCCUUCCAACAGCCAUGCAAGUGAGCUUGGAAGUAAACCAUUCAGCUCCUAUCAAGUCUUUGGAUUGCAGUCCUGGCUGAGAGCUUGACUGCAACUUCGUGAGCCAGAGCCACCUAGCUAAACUAUUCUUGAAUCUGUGAUCCUCAGAAACUGUGUGAGAUGAUGAAUAUUUGCUGACUUAAACUUUAAGUUUUGGAGUAAUUUGUUAUGAACAAUAGACAACUGAUACAGUAUCUAUGUCUAUAUAUUUUUUUAGUGUAAUUCACGUAAUAUAAAACACACAGAUCUGGAGUGUUAAAUUCUGUGAGCUUUGAUCAUUGUAUACAAACGUGUAAC
rnacentral:lncRNA from 1 species